GGGGGGGGGAGGUGUUAUAUGAUAAAGGAAUAAUUUAAAAAUGGGACAACUCAAAUCUCAAAUUUAUUGAAUGAGUGAUUAUAUGAAUUAAUUAAGCUUCGGUUCCAAUUUUUUAAAUAUAUAUAUGCAUGAACCAAGGAUGACCAAUUUGUUUACAAAAACGAUGGAAGCAAAGCAUGAGUUUUGCAAUUUGGUCCUAUCCUUUCCGUAAACAAAAUGGGGACCAUAUGUUUCUAUUUGUAAUUAUCCUUCCUUCCAAAAAC
rnacentral:lncRNA from 1 species